rnacentral:rRNA from 1 species
AGAGUUUGAUCCUGGCUCAGGAUGAACGCUAGCGGUAUGCCUAACACAUGCAAGUCGUACGAGAGUUUUUAACUCUAGUGGCGGACGGGUGAGUAACACGUGAGAAUUUGCCUUUAGGAGGGGGAUAACAAUUGGAAACGAAUGCUAAUACCCCAUAUGCUUUCGAGUGAAAUGAAUUUUUUAUUUGCCUAAAGAGAAGCUCGCGGCUGAUUAGCUUGUUGGUAAGGUAAGAGCUUACCAAGGCGACGAUCAGUAUCUGGUUUGAGAGGACGAUCAGACACACUGGAACUGAGACACGGUCCAGACUCCUACGGGAGGCAGCAGUGGGGAAUUUUCCGCAAUGGGCGAAAGCCUGACGGAGCAAUACCGCGUGAGGGAAGAAUGCCUAUGGGUUGUAAACCUCUUUUUUCAGGGAGGAAUAAAUGACGUGUACCUGAAGAAUAAGCAUCGGCUAACUCCGUGCCAGCAGCCGCGGUAAGACGGAGGAUGCAAGUGUUAUCCGGAAUCACUGGGCGUAAAGCGUCUGUAGGUGGUUUAAUAAGUCAACUGUUAAAUCUUGAGGCUCAACUUCAAAAUCGCAGCUGAAACUAUUAGACUAGAGUAUAGUAGAGGUAAAGGGAAUUUCCAGUGUAGCGGUGAAAUGCGUAGA